GGACAGAACAUUUAUAAACAUAACUUUGUCUGUGAAAAUAAAAGAAAAUACAAUAAUAAAUAUUUCUUAUAAUAUACAUUACUAUGCUAAGUAGUGUGAUAAAGAACAGAGCAUAUGGAAGGCAGAUGUGAUGCAACCAGUAGUAUAGAUCCAAAGGUUGCAAGGUUAAAGACAUAACUGGACCUAAGUAAGGAUUUUAUGGCAGCUCUAGACAUUAUAGAAGGAUAUGUCUUGUCUAUUAAUACAUCAACAAUGCAUUGGAGACUGACAGCAGUGCAUUCAUUAUGCUCCUCUGGGGUGAUGUAAGCAAAGGGUUUCUUCAAAAUGUAUGCUUAUAUUGAUUAGUGUUCCCUACUCCAAAAUGGGUCCUCACUAUGAAAUACCUUAGCUGAAGCAGUUGGUAGCACAAAUCAGCCAUGAACCAAAGUAAGAGAUAUCUUUGUGCUCUACCACCUAGACCACCAGAGGGUGCAACUCAUACCAAUGCAUCUAUAAAUAGAUUGACAACAGAAUGGAAUUGGUUACAAGUAACAGCAAGGA